rnacentral:rRNA from 1 species
UUUAUAUAAACAAUUAAAAGUGAAAUUUUCAAAUGAAUUGACAAAAGACAAAAGAAUUAAUCUUACUCUAUAUAAAUGAGAAAAUAAACUAGGAUUAGAUACCCUACUAUUCUCAUCAAUUUUUGCCCGGGUAGUAAAAGAGAAUCUUCAAACCCAAAGAAUUUGACGGCAUCUCAUCUUACCAGAGGAACCUGCCCCAUAAUCGAUAACCCACGUUAAACCUUACUUUCCCUAAUUAAGCCUGUAUACCGCCGUUGCCAGAUAAUUUUCAAAAAACAUUAUCUAAAUUAAGAUUUUUAUGGACUUCAGGUCAAGGUGCAGCUUAUGAGAAAGAGGAGGUGGGUUACAAUAAUUUUUAUUUACACGAAAAGUAUAUGAAAACAAACUGGAAGGUGGAUUUGGUAGUAAAUAUAGUUUAGCAAACCAUAUUGAAAAGAGCCCUGAGAUGUGU